UUAGUUCGUGGAGUGAUCUGUCUGCUUAAUUGCGUUUCAAAAUUUAACUUGAGGACCGGGUUUUGGUUUGGCUAGUGGUUCUACGAUGACUGUGAACUGUCAUGUCUUCGGAUGUGCGACUAUUGGUCUAGGAUCACAUGACUUGCCCCUGGGACUCUUUUGAACGCAACGGACGUGAUUGCAACCCCUUGUUGAGAUUAGAGAUAGUCUCGAUAUUCACUGGACAAACUGGCUGCUUUAUGCAGUCUUGUUGAAUGGUGGAUAAACUCGGGGGACUGCUGACUAUAACCAUUUCUCAAAACAGAGGAAGGUUGCGGCAAUAACAGGUCUGUGAUGCCCUCAGAUGUCCCGGGCUGCACACGUGCUACAAUGAGUGGCGCAAUGUGCUAAUGUUUAAGGGAUAAGAGUGUGGUCAGUAGAACGUCGGGAUUUCCCCUGACGUCUCCCCCGCACGAUUAUCAGCCUUCCCUUAACAGGGCGGGCAACCUUUUCAAAAUACUGGUUUGAUGUUAAAGUAUUGAGUCGUUUUUUUUGGAUGGUGGUUUGUUAACCAAUACCAUCCGGCAACUGCUCGCGAGUUUGUGGUUCUGGCGACUC
rnacentral:rRNA from 1 species